AUUGUAGUUCAAAAUAAUCAUAGAUGAUAAAUUUGAAACAAAAUGGAGAAGGGAUUGAAAAGAGGAAAUCAUUGUCAAAGCUAUAACACAGAAAUCCAAAUAUCCCAUAUAGAUGGGUUUGCCUAAAUCAAACAGCGCCUGAUUCAUAUAUUAUUUUAGAGCAUCCAACUCAGAAGCAUAAACCAUUUGAUUGUGAAUCUAUACACAACAUAAACACAUAUCAUAGUCCUUGCACAAUCUAUGUCAGAUUCUAA
rnacentral:misc_RNA from 1 species